UGCUUCUUUGCAUUUCAGGUCUCACUCGCUCCGUUCAAUCGUCGUGUCUGGUGAUCGGAGCUCCGCCAUGGGCGAAGCUUUAUUUGAACUUGAACAAGCUCUCACGUCCAAACAGACUAAGCUAGGCACCGAGGCUAUUGCAGACCCUCUGAAUUGUAUUUUUGGUUCCACUGGCCAGAGAAGAAGAAAUCCAACAUUUGACUU